GGUUAAGCGACUAAGCGUACACGGUGGAUGCCCUGGCAGUCAGAGGCGAUGAAGGACGUGCUAAUCUGCGAUAAGCGUCGGUGAGGUGAUAUGAACCGUUAUAACCGGCGAUUUCCGAAUGGGGAAACCCAGUGUGUUUCGACACACUAUCAUUAACUGAAUCCAUAGGUUAAUGAGGCGAACCGGGGGAACUGAAACAUCUAAGUACCCCGAGGAAAAGAAAUCAACCGAGAUUCCCCCAGUAGCGGCGAGCGAACGGGGAGGAGCCCAGAGCCUGAAUCAGUGUGUGUGUUAGUGGAAGCGUCUGGAAAGGCGUGCGAUACAGGGUGACAGCCCCGUACACAAAAAUGCACAUAUUGUGAGCUCGAUGAGUAGGGCGGGACACGUGGUAUCCUGUCUGAAUAUGGGGGGACCAUCCUCCAAGGCUAAAUACUCCUGACUGACCGAUAGUGAACCAGUACCGUGAGGGAAAGGCGAAAAGAACCCCGGCGAGGGGAGUGAAAAAGAACCUGAAACCGUGUACGUACAAGCAGUGGGAGCCUCUUAAUGGGGUGACUGCGUACCUUUUGUAUAAUGGGUCAGCGACUUAUAUUCUGUAGCAAGGUUAACCGAAUAGGGGAGCCGAAGGGAAACCGAGUCUUAACUGGGCGUUAAGUUGCAGGGUAUAGACCCGAAACCCGGUGAUCUAGCCAUGGGCAGGUUGAAGGUUGGGUAACACUAACUGGAGGACCGAACCGACUAAUGUUGAAAAAUUAGCGGAUGACUUGUGGCUGGGGGUGAAAGGCCAAUCAAACCGGGAGAUAGCUGGUUCUCCCCGAAAGCUAUUUAGGUAGCGCCUCGUGAAUUCAUCUCCGGGGGUAGAGCACUGUUUCGGCAAGGGGGUCAUCCCGACUUACCAACCCGAUGCAAACUGCGAAUACCGGAGAAUGUUAUCACGGGAGACACACGGCGGGUGCUAACGUCCGUCGUGAAGAGGGAAACAACCCAGACCGCCAGCUAAGGUCCCAAAGUCAUGGUUAAGUGGGAAACGAUGUGGGAAGGCCCAGACAGCCAGGAUGUUGGCUUAGAAGCAGCCAUCAUUUAAAGAAAGCGUAAUAGCUCACUGGUCGAGUCGGCCUGCGCGGAAGAUGUAACGGGGCUAAACCAUGCACCGAAGCUGCGGCAGCGACACUAUGUGUUGUUGGGUAGGGGAGCGUUCUGUAAGCCUGUGAAGGUGGCCUGUGAGGGUUGCUGGAGGUAUCAGAAGUGCGAAUGCUGACAUAAGUAACGAUAAAGCGGGUGAAAAGCCCGCUCGCCGGAAGACCAAGGGUUCCUGUCCAACGUUAAUCGGGGCAGGGUGAGUCGACCCCUAAGGCGAGGCCGAAAGGCGUAGUCGAUGGGAAACAGGUUAAUAUUCCUGUACUUGGUGUUACUGCGAAGGGGGGACGGAGAAGGCUAUGUUGGCCGGGCGACGGUUGUCCCGGUUUAAGCGUGUAGGCUGGUUUUCCAGGCAAAUCCGGAAAACCAAGGCUGAGGCGU
rnacentral:rRNA from 1 species